rnacentral:tRNA from 1 species
AUGGGUGUGGUGUAACUGGUAACACGGCGGUCUCCAAAACCGUAAGAUAGGGGUUCGAAUCCUCUCGCCUAUGCCA